CCUCAGGACCCAGAACUGUUGCCUGGGGACAAGACCAGGCUCCAAUCCCCUAAAUAGCCAUAUAAAAUCCUGAAUCCCAAAUCUGUCAUCCCUGGGCAUGCCAGUGACUCUUGGGACCCAGGAGUCCCCGUACCUAGACCCGGACCCUUUAGGUUUCCAGCUCCCUUCUCCCUCAAGAUCCAGGAGUUCAGGUGUUCAGCUUCCUACCUCAGACCCAGAGGUCUCGGCCCCGAGUCCCUCCUCCCUCUGGUCCCUAGUCCCUUCUCUCGGGUCCUCAGUCCCCUCCUCCCUCAGGACCUAGGAGUCUGGACUGAAGUCCUCAUCCUCCCUCAGGACAGGCUCAGGCCAGCGAAGAGCCCAGGUACGUGCCGCCAGAAACCCCAUUCAUGGCCCGUCUGCAGUCUACCGCGCCCACAACUACCCCCUAGUCUUGUCUUUCCGGAGGCGGGUCUGACACGGGAGUCCUCCAGUGUCUAGCUGUGAUAAGCUACCUGUGACGUCAGUCAUUAUCAUCCAGCCAAUAGACACGUUCCGCCUCCUACCUCCCGCGGCCACACAGGAGGCGUUCUCCGGUAGGCGGGGCCACGGGCCAAGUCGGACAGCGAUAGGCUCUCGAAGACGCCAGUCCUGCCAGGCUGCCAAUAGGCCGGGAACCUGCGGGGUGGGAAAGCAAGUCCGCUCCACAGAGACUGGAGCGGGCUCGUGAGGGAACAAGUUCUGCGGAUCCGGCCCGGCCUGUGCCCUGUUCUAGCCGCCUCCCUGGCCCCAGCAUGAGACCUGGCCAACUUGUUAUGGUCACUUGAUACAGAAGUGCUCCCCGAAGGACACCAGCCCGAUGGAGAUGGUCUGCAGGAAUGGCCGGAUGGCGGGCGUGAACUGUGGAGAGAUGCCGCUGCGUCACCCACUGUCCAGGAGAGGGAGUGGGGGCCGGCAGGAGUGAGGGGCAGAGAUAUGGGGGGAGACGCAGUCAUUCAGCAAACACUUAGUGAGCUCCUACUGUAUGCCAGGCACUGCCCUAGGCGCCUUCGUGGAGCUGAUGUUGUCGAAGGGAAGACAGACAAUAAGGAAAUAAAGAUAUACUAUAUAAUGUCAAGUAAUGAUUAAUGCUUUGAAAAGACAGUAGGUGGAGGGGACACAGAGCGAUGACGAGGGGUCAGGCUACUCAGACAGGUGGGGACUUGAGGAGGGAUCCAAAUGAAGCGAGGGAAGGCCGUUCCCUGCAGAGGACACGGCAAGUACAAAGGCUGUGAGGCGGCUCAGUGCUUGGCGUGGAGAAGGAAAGCUAGGGGCCAGUGUGGCCGGGGCAGAGUCAG